UGUGCCUUAUUAUAUGAUGUAUAAAGAUUUUUGAUAUCUAAGGAAGUAGUUUGAUUCUACUAGGUGCAA
rnacentral:tRNA from 1 species